UGGUGGCUCCGAUGGUAAAGAAUCUGCCUGCAAUGUAGGAGACCCAGGUUCAAUUCCUGGGUCAGCAA
rnacentral:tRNA from 1 species